rnacentral:pre_miRNA from 1 species
GAUUUCAACUGAAAAAGUCAUCAACAACAAAGUUCAAUAACUCAUAAAGAUCUAAAACUUUUAUUUUGGUCAUUUCUUUCUCUGAUAAAGUGAUAGUAAUAUUGAUUAUAAAAUCGACAUAUCUCUUAUCUGGUUUUAUAAACUAUUACACACAUGUGUAAUUUUCAUGAACAAUGUUACUAACACUUUGUAGGAUGAAGAAAUGACAAAAAUAAAAGUUUUAGAUCUUAAUGAAUUAUACAACUUUGUUGUUGAUGACUUUUUUAGUUGAAAUC